rnacentral:rRNA from 1 species
UAGUCCACGCCGUAAACGAUGACAACUAACUAUUGCGGGUAUUGACCCCUGCAGUGGUACAGCAAACGCGUUAAGUUGUCCGCCUGGGGAGUACGGUCGCAAGACUAAAACUCAAAGGAAUUGACGGGGGCCCGCACAAGCGGUGGAUUAUGUGGUUUAAUUCGAAGCAACGCGCAAAACCUUACCCGGACUUGAAAUCUUGAGAAUUCGGCCCAAAAGCUGAAGUGCCCUUCGGGGAAUUCAAUGACAGGCGCUGCAUGGCUGUCGUCAGCUCGUGUUGUGAAAUGUUGGGUUAAGUCUCGCAACGAGCGCAACCCCUAUCUUUAGUUGCCAGCAUUAAGUUGGGCACUCUAGAGAGACUGCCUGGGUUAACCAGGAGGAAGGUGGGGACGACGUCAAGUCAUCAUGGCCCUUACGGGAUGGGCUACACACGUGCUACAAUGGCAGGUACAGAGUGCUGCGAGCUCGCGAGAGUAAGCGAAUCACUUAAAGCUUGUCGUAGUCCGGAUUGG